rnacentral:rRNA from 1 species
UACGUAGGUGGCGAGCGUUGUCCGGAAUUACUGGGUGUAAAGCGCGUGUAGGCGGGAGGCCAAGUCUGCGGUGAAAUCGCUCGGCUCAACUGGGCGGGGUCCGUGGAAACUGGUCACCUGGAGGACGGUAGAGGCGAGUGGAAUUCCCGGUGUAGUGGUGAAAUGCGUGGAGAUCGGGAGGAACACCAGUGGCGAAGGCGGCUCGCUGGGCCGGACCUGACGCUGAGACGCGAAGGCGUGGGGAGCGAACGGG